GAUGAAGAACGUAGCGAAGUGCGAUAAGUAAUGUGAAUUGCAGAAUUCAGUGAAUCAUCGAAUCUUUGAACGCACAUUGCGCCCGCCAGUAUUCUGGCGGGCAUGCCUGUUCGAGCGUCAUUACAACCCUCAGGCCCCCGGGCCUGGCGUUGGGGAUCGGCGGAAGCCCCCUGCGGGCACAACGCCGUCCCCCAAAUACAGUGGCGGUCCCGCCGCAGCUUCCAUUGCGUAGUAGCUAACACCUCGCAACUGGAGAGCGGCGCGGCCACGCCGUAAAACACCCAACUUCUGAAUGUUGACCUCGAAUCAGGUAGGAAUACCCGCUGAACUUAAGCAUAUCAAUAAGCGGAGGA
rnacentral:misc_RNA from 1 species